UUUCUCAAGGUUGACCUCGGAUCAGGUAGGGAUACCCGCUGAACUUAAGCAUAUCA
rnacentral:rRNA from 1 species